UUACGACCAUAUCAGGUUGAAACACCGGUUCUUGUACGAUCACCGAAGUUAAGCAACGCCGAGCCUGGUCAAUACCAGCUUGGAUGACAGCUUUGGAAUGCCAGGCGAUGUAAG